GUACUGAUAAAUCAAGGUUGAGAGAGGACUGAAAAUCCUCGUGUCACCGGUUCAAAUCCGGUUCCUGGCA
rnacentral:tRNA from 1 species